rnacentral:rRNA from 1 species
GAAACAGUGGCUAAGACUGGAUAGGAAGAUAAAAGGCAUCUUUUAUCUUUUAAAAGACCUAGUAAUAGGUAUGCUUUAGGAGGGGCUUGCGCCAUAUUAGUUAGUUGGUAGGGUAAUGGCCUACCAAGACGAUGAUGUGUAGCUGGACUGAGAGGUUGAACAGCCACAUUGGGACUGAGACACGGCCCAAACUCCUACGGGAGGCAGCAGUAGGGAAUUUUCGGCAAUGGAGGAAACUCUGACCGAGCAACGCCGCGUGAAUGACGAAGUACUUCGGUAUGUAAAGUUCUUUUAUCAAGGAAGAAAAGCAAAUGGCGAACCAUUUGUUUGCCGGUACUUGAUGAAUAAGCCCCGGCUAAUUAUGUGCCAGCAGCCGCGGUAAGACAUAAGGGGCAAGUGUCAUCCGGAAUUAUUGGGCGUAAAGGGUGCGUAGGCGGUCUAGUAAGUCAGUGGUGUAAUGGCAACGCUUAACGUUGUCCGGCUAUUGAAACUGCUAAACUUGAGUUAGAUAGAGGCGAGUGGAAUUCCAUGUGUAGCGGUAAAAUGCGUAAAUAUAUGGAGGAACACCAGAGGCGUAGGCGGCUCGCUGGGUCUUAACUGACGCUGAGGCACGAAAGCGUGGGGAGCAAACAGGAUUAGAUACCCUGGUAGUCCACGCCGUAAACGAUGAGUACUAAGUGUCGGGUUAAACCGGUACUGAAGUUAACACAUUAAGUACUCCGCCUGAGUAGUACGUACGCAAGUAUGAAACUUAAAGGAAUUGACGGGACUCCGCACAAGCGGUGGAUCAUGUUGUUUAAUUCGAAGAUACCCGAAAAACCUUACCAGGUCUUGACAUGUUUUUGCAAAAUGAUAGUAAUAUCGUGGAGGUUACCAGAAACACAGGUGGUGCAUGGUUGUCGUCAGCUCGUGUCGUGAGAUGUUAGGUUAAGUCCUAAAACGAGCGAAACCCUUAUCGUUAGUUGCCAGCACGUUAUGGUGGGGACUUUAACGAGACUGCCAAUGAUAAAUUGGAGGAAGGUGAGGAUCACGUCAAAUCAGCAUGCCCCUUAUGACCUGGGCUACAAACGUGAUACAAUGGCUGUUACAAAGGGUAGCUGAAACGCAAGUUCUUGGCCAAUCCCCAAAAACAGUCCCAGUCCGGAUUGAAGUCUGCAACUCGACUUCAUGAAGUUGGAAUCGCUAGUAAUCGCGAAUCAGCAUGUCGCGGUGAAUACGUUCUCGGGGUUUGUACACACCGCCCGUCA